UACGGAGGAUCCAAGCGUUAUCCGGAUUUAUUGGGUUUAAAGGGUGCGUAGGCGGCCUAUUAAGUCAGGGGUGAAAGACGGUAGCUUAACUAUCGCAGUGCCUUUGAUACUGAUGGGCUUGAAUACACUAGAGGUAGGCGGAAUGUGACAAGUAGCGGUGAAAUGCAUAGAUAUGUCACAGAACACCAAUUGCAAAGGCAGCUUACUAUGGUGCAAUUGACGCUGAGGCACGAAAGCGUGGGGAUCAAACAGG
rnacentral:rRNA from 1 species